rnacentral:lncRNA from 1 species
CUGAUGGGAUCCUUACAAUUAGGUACCAUUAAGUUUUCUCCAUGUGAAUUUUUUUCUUCGAUUUAUGAAAAAAAUGUCUCUUUAACAGGUGCAGGAUGGCAGCUGGCAGAGUAUCAUCAGGACUCACUAUCAAGCAGUCAGCAAGACUCGCAAGACGCGAUGUACCCGGCGACUCGGUACCUGAUCACCUCGACGGACAUGGACGGGGCGGAAAGCAUGGACUACUUCACGAUGGGGUGCGGACGCCGCGGACCCUCCUGGCAGCCCUCUCGACGCCGCCGCUGCUGGAGAAGUCCGAGGCCGAGAGCCUCCAGAAGAACAUCGAGUGCAACAAGUGCGGGCGGAUGUACAAGCUCAAAAGCUCCCUGCUCAACCACCAAAGGUGGGAGUGCGGCAAGGACCCCCAGUUCAAGUGCACGCUCUGCGACUACAAGGCCAAACAGAAGGCCCACCUCCUCACCACCAUCAAAUACCGCCACAAGCACGAUUGACAUAACCUCCAAAU